rnacentral:tRNA from 1 species
GGGGCGGUAGCUCAGCUUGGUUAGAGCGCCUGCCUGUCACGCAGGAGGUCGCGGGUUCGAGUCCCGUCCGCCCCGCC